rnacentral:tRNA from 1 species
GGCCCUAUAGCUCAGGGGGGGAUAGAGCAUUCGUUUCCUAAACGAUGUGUCGCAGGUUCGAAUCCUGCUAGGGCCG